UUUGAUAGAUAUGUUCGACCAUCUCAGCUUGAAGUUGGUGACAGAGUGCUGGUUCGCAAUGUGCGAAUUAGAGGCAAACAGAAGUUGACUGACAGGUGGGAAGCAGAUGUCUACAUUGUUGUGAAGAGAGCUGGAGACUUACCUGUUUACACCGUGAGACCAGAAGGGAAAGACGGUCCAACACGGACUUUACACCGUGAUUUGCUGUUGCCGUGUGGGUUUCUUCCUGAAGUGGACAUGGGUGCAACUUCAGAGGUCCUUCCUGUUGAAGAAUCCAGACUGACUCGUCAGCAAAAACGAGCUCAGCUUCAGUCUGAAGACUCUGCGGAGGAAGAUGAACGGUUUGAGGACAUGUCUAGCUGUUUUGUUCCUGAUGCAGUAAGAUUUUCGGUGGAGACGUUUCAAGCUCCAGAGAACAUAUCUGUUCAGGAUCGUGGAACUUUUCCUGAACCACACUUGCCUGCAGAUCACUUACCUUCCUUGGAACCCGGAGCUCAACCACUAGAGAUACCUAUGGAAGCUCACUUACCUGAAAUUUCAACUUCGGCAGAAGCUGGUGCAGAAACUGAGCCUAUAGAGAUACAUCUGCCUGAGCAGUUAUCCGGUUCUGAGAGUCCAGUCUCUGCCAAUGCACCUGUGGUAGAAGAACCUGAAGAAAAAAACAAUCCUCGAUCCAGUCUCAUUGAUCCAACAAACUUGGAUGGCAUAAACACCUUGCCUGCUACUGACAAUGACAGCGUAGAUGAUCAAGCUGCUGAAGCCGGUCUCAGACGCUCAAAUCGUCUCCGACAACUACCUGACAGAUUACGUUAUGUUUCCCUGGGCAAUCCACUGAUCUCAGUUGUUCAAACUUGGAUAAACAGUCUGUCGGAUGCCUUGGGUACAUCAUCUCAUUGAAUUAUGCAACGGGACGUGCAUAGACUAAAGGGGGGAGGGUGUAACCCUGGGUGAAAAUCUCAAAAUUCCCACUUUCUGCAAGUCCCUUGAAUGCACCACACACACACCUCACAGGUCACAUGUUUCCCAUGACCAAUCCAAGGUAUUGGAGGGAAAGUUACCUGCGACCUCACUUCCUCUCCAGUCAGUUGUGUGGGGAGAGGAGCUGAGGGAGCAGCAGUGCACAGAUCUCUGCCUGCCUGGAGCUUUGGAUUGGGGGACUUUGUCAGGACAUGUGCCUGUGUGAAGGGAAUUGGCCAGGUGUCCUACUCUGAAUUGAGUAGUGGAUGGCGAGCCAGUGGUUCAGCGGCCAGGAGCCUGAAGAGACCCCCUCAGUUCCCAAAUAAAUUGUCGGGUAGGAGGCUGGUGCAGCCUGCUCUCUUGCCCCCACCUACUCACUCCUCCAUUACACCACUUUCCCCAAUAUUCACAUUCACUCUGGACAUUUGCGCUUUCGCCAAACCCCACCACUGCAAUAAUUCAUAUAUGGACAAUUGGUGGUGAAAAAUGGACCCCGAGUGAGAAGAAACCCGAUACCUGCUGGACUCUGAAUUUAUUUUCUUUAUUUUGAGUUACUUAGUUUGUUUGCUCGUUCACUGUAAAUAUUUUGGGUUGUUUGUUUAAUAGUUCUGUUUUGUUGUCACAUUUAAUAUAUUAUGCUUGCACUUAAACUUACCUGGUGUUGUGUUUUACUGUCCUCCGCCCUCCAGUAGUCGAACCCAGAAUCUUUUGACUAGCCCGCUUAAUAUACUCACCUCAGUGGUGAUAAAUUAUCAUAACGUAACCGAAAUA